rnacentral:rRNA from 1 species
CAAUAGCGUAUAUUAAAGUUGUUGCAGUUAAAAAGCUCGUAGUUGGAUUUCUGGUGGGAGCGAUCGGUCUGGCGCUUAGCGCGAGUACUUACAUCGUCUCCGGCCAUCCUUGGGGAGAGUCUGUCUGGCAUUAAGUUGUCGGGCAGAGGAUCCUCAUCGUUUACUGUGAAAAAAUUAGAGUGUUCAAAGCAGGCUUAUGCCGUUGAAUAUAUUAGCAUGGAAUAAUAAGAUAGGACUUUGGUACUAUUUUGUUGGUUUGCGCACCAAAGUAAUGAUUAAUAGGGACAGUUGGGGGUAUUCGUAUUCCGUUGUCAGAGGUGAAAUUCUUGGAUUUACGGAAGACGAACUACUGCGAAAGCAUUUACCAAGGAUGUUUUCAUUAA